GUUGUUUUCCAAUUGUCCCACAACCCAGCUAUUCUUUUAUCUUCAGACUCGAGUUUCAGCCUGUCACGCUUCAGGCCCCUUUACCACCUCCUCUUGGAGUGAAGAAACGCCCUCGGAUUCUUCUUUCUUCGACCUCCGGGGUAGACCACCCUUCAGUCGUUACACAGAUCUGGGGAUUAUUCUGCCACACUUUCAAACAAAGAUCUGUGGGUUUGUUGUCCGUUGUCACCGCCGUGUCCCCCUUUUUGCCAAAAGCCUCUCGAACCUCGUUGGUCUCUGGUAUUCCUAGAUUUCGCCAACCCCUUCCUGGUUAUCGCUGUGAUUAUGGGAUCCAUCUUCUCAAGGAGCCCCAAGGCCAUGACACUUGACCCCAGUUGCUGUGAAGGGUCCCCAUAUCUCCGUGUCCCCGUCUGGUGUCUGCUCCCUUUUCUGCAAGAGACAGAAAACCAACACCUCUCCUGCGCUGGCUCUCCUAACCUAAUGUUGUUGACUUUGUUUAUUCCAAUCCUAUGCCAUGCUUAUGUGUGUAAGCGUGCAUGCACAUAACCCUAAGGUUAGUUGCCAUUAGUCUCAAUUAAUCGUUCUAGUUGUAUUUUGCAAUUCAGCUAAAAAGCAAACCUGUUAAAGCAAACAGCUUAUUUACAACCACCUGCAAAUCAUAAGAGUAAUAAAAUACUCAGCACAACAGACAAGUAUCAUGUUCAGAUUUCUCCAAUCAUUAAAUCACUAUUAUUGCCGCAAUUUGUUUUAUUCACCCUUUGGGCAAUGUUACUCCAAGAGAGAGAGAACCCCUAAUGGCCAGUUAGUGGGCUCUAGGUUAAACUGUCCCCAAAUUUGUUAUUUGUUAUUAUUACUCUUUGUUUUCAUGUCACUUGUCUGUUUUCUACUGCACCCUUCUCACGCAUUCUUAACAAAGUAAAGCAAACAUUAGCAGCACAUUGACCACAGUCAGGCAUCCACAGUCCAUAGGUGCUAUAAAAACAUUUCCUGUAAAAGAAUCACAGUUUUCAAGAUAGGGUGUGUCUCCCCCAACACUCUCACCAGAAUACAGUGUAAUAGCAUCACCAACUCCUAACCCAUAAACACCGUUUCUUCACACAUCCGCCCAGAAAUCCUGUAAUAGAAAAACAUUAAAAACUGUACCCCUGUAGGGAAGAAAAAUGUAAAUAGUAACGCUACGCAGGUGUGUACACACAAUUUCACAUACACAGAAAGUUAAAUCGUCGUGCAAUCUCAGAUGUCGCUGUCAUCUUUCUGCUCCUGUAAAAAGAAACACAUAGAUUCAUCCACCCUUUUGUCCUAUCGAGGUGGAGGUAGUUAACCUUGAGUCAUGGUCAAGUCUUGUCAUCUUUUACCAGUCAGUCAGUUUGUUUUUAUUUCCAGUCUUUCAUCCAUUCAUUCUUCCAUUCCUCCAUUCUUUCUUUCUUUGCUGAUUGUGGAACCCAUCGCCGCAUUUAGAUUUCCACCCUCAGCAAAAUGACGUCAUCUCAAAAAGAAAACAAGAAUUUGAAUUUGGAUUACCUCGCUGAAUCCUCUUUUAGGGAGGGAUUCUCGUUUCUAAUUGCCCCCAUAAGUGUUUCCUCCAGAACCCAUUUCAAUGAGGAGAAACUCACUUACAAC
ensembl:lncRNA